CCUACGGGAGGCAGCAGUGGGGAAUAUUGGACAAUGGGCGCAAGCCUGAUCCAGCCAUGCCGCGUGAGUGAUGAAGGCCUUAGGGUUGUAAAGCUCUUUUAGCGGGGAAGAUAAUGACGGUACCCGCAGAAAAAGCCCCGGCUAACUUCGUGCCAGCAGCCGCGGUAAUACGAAGGGGGCUAGCGUUGCUCGGAAUCACUGGGCGUAAAGCGCACGUAGGCGGCUUCUUAAGUCAGGGGUGAAAUCCUGGAGCUCAACUCCAGAACUGCCUUUGAUACUGGGGAGCUUGAGUCCGGGAGAGGUGAGUGGAACUGCGAGUGUAGAGGUGAAAUUCGUAGAUAUUCGCAAGAACACCAGUGGCGAAGGCGGCUCACUGGCCCGGUACUGACGCUGAGGUGCGAAAGCGUGGGGAGCAAACAGGAUUAGAUACCCCAGUAGUC
rnacentral:rRNA from 1 species